GCCCACACAAGUUCUUCUCUCUGAUGGAAUACAAACAGUCAGUGCUCCCUUAAGCAACAUUGAAAGUGGUAAGAAAAAGAGAUAAAAUGAUGGAACAUAAGCAAGACGACAAGCUUUCAUCUUGAGCAUAAUGGUUCAAAACUGACACAAAUGUUGCUAUUAAUUAAGCCCAUCCUUGUACAGCCAAUCAGUGAUACCACCAAGAGGUGUAGUCAAGCUGCAGAUGAUAUCGGGACACAUCAAAGCUCCAAGCACAGGAAGAUGGCUUCAUGCCAGGCCAGCUUCAGUCUGAAACACCUGGAUGCCUCUGCUCCAUACAGGGACAGAAGUCUGCACGCUGGAAGGGCUUGUUAAGCCCAGAGAAGUGCCCCAUGAACGCACGGAACCAGCCCAGUUCCAGCACUACCUUGGAGCUUACAAGCCACAUUUGAACAUGGAAGGCUUU